AAGUCGUAACAAGGUCUCCGUAGGUGAACCUGCGGAGGGAUCAUUACUGAGUGAGGGCCUUCGGGCUCGACCUCCAACCCUUUGUGAACACAACUUGUUGCUUCGGGGGCGACCCUGCCGUUUCGACGGCGAGCGCCCCCGGAGGCCUUCAAACACUGCAUCUUUGCGUCGGAGUUUAAGUAAAUUAAACAAAACUUUCAACAACGGAUCUCUUGGUUCUC
rnacentral:misc_RNA from 1 species